rnacentral:misc_RNA from 1 species
CGACGGUAUGGCGAGCUUUCGCCGUCCACGUUUCUCUUUCUUCACAAGGAUAUCGAACCAUAGCUAGACUGCGCCUGGCGCUGUUUCUUGGCUUUUGGUGCUGUGCUUUCCCAAGUGCAGGACCUUUUAAGAGAUGGGCCCGUAGCUCAGUUGGUUAGAGCACACGCNUGAUAAGCGUGG